rnacentral:rRNA from 1 species
ACUUUACUACUUGGAUAACCGUGGUAAUUCUAGAGCUAAUACAUGCUGAAAAUCCCGACUUCGGAAGGGAUGUAUUUAUUAGAUUAAAAACCAAUGCCCCUCGGGGCUCUCUGGUGAAUCAUGAUAACUAGUCGAAUCGACAGGCCUUGUGCCGGCGAUGGCUCAUUCAAAUUUCUUCCCUAUCAACUUUCGAUGUUUGGGUAUUGGCCAAACAUGGUGGCAACGGGUAACGGAGGGUUAGGGCUCGACCCCGGAGAAGGAGCCUGAGAAACGGCUACUACAUCCAAGGAAGGCAGCAGGCGCGCAAAUUACCCAAUCCCGACACGGGGAGGUAGUGACAAUAAAUACUGAUACAGGGCUCUUUUGGGUCUUGUAAUCGGAAUGAGUACAAUUUAAAUCCCUUAACGAGGAACAAUUGGAGGGCAAGUCUGGUGCCAGCAGCCGCGGUAAUUCCAGCUCCAAUAGCGUAUAUUAAAGUUGUUGUGGUUAAAAAGCUCGUAGUUGAACCUUGGGCCUGGCUGGCCGGUCCGCCUCACCGCGUGCACUGGUCCGGCCGGGCCUUUCCCUCUGCGGAACCCCAUGCCCUUCACUGGGUGUGGCGGGGAAACAGGACUUUUACUUUGAAAAAAUUAGAGUGCUCAAGGCAGGCCUAUGCUCGAAUACAUUAGCAUGGAAUAAUAGAAUAGGACGUGUGGUUCUAUUUUGUUGGUUUCUAGGACCGCCGUAAUGAUUAAUAGGGACAGUCGGGGGCAUCAGUAUUCAAUUGUCAGAGGUGAAAUUCUUGGAUUUAUUGAAGACUAACUACUGCGAAAGCAUUUGCCAAGGAUGUUUUCAUUAAUCAGGAACGAAAGUUAGGGGAUCGAAGACGAUCAGAUACCGUCGUAGUCUUAACCAUAAACUAUGCCGACUAGGGAUCGGACGAUGUUACAUUUUUGACGCGUUCGGCACCUUACGAGAAAUCAAAGUGCUUGGGCUCCAGGGGGAGUAUGGUCGCAAGGCUGAAACUUAAGAAAUUUGACGGAAGAA